UCCAGUUCUAGCAAUGAUUAUUUGACUGCAGCUGAGGCUUUUGCCAAAGCAAAACAUCUUGUACAGCCGCAAGUUGUGAAGAAGAAGCAAUAUCCACUGGCAGUUAAACCAUCAAAGUUGUCACUUCUAAAGAAGUUAUCUGCGUAGAUGAUGAAACUACAG